GAUGAAGAACGUAGCGAAAUGCGAUAAGUAGUGUGAAUUGCAGAAUUCAGUGAAUCAUCGAAUCUUUGAACGCACAUUGCGCCCUGUGGUAUUCCGCAGGGCAUGCCUGUUCGAGCGUCAUUGACACCCUCAAGCUCUGCUUGGUCUUGGGCGUUUGUGCCUGCCGUUGCGCAGGGACUCGCCUCAAACUCAUUGGCAGCCUGCCUUUGCCGGUCUUUGCACAGCACAGUCGUGCCAAAGCCGCGGUGAGCAGGCGCUCCACAAGCCCUUUUCAGCUUGACCUCGGAUCAGGUAGGAAUACCCGCUGAACUUAAGCAUAUCAAUAAGCGGAGGA
rnacentral:misc_RNA from 1 species